rnacentral:lncRNA from 1 species
UCAUAGAGUCCCCGUGAGUUGGAGGUGACUUGAUGGCACCAACAACAACAACGUGAAAUGAUUGUAAGUUACAUCUGAAGACAUAUAUGUAGACAUACAUGCUCUAGCUGCAAACUUGUGCCCCUUAAGCCACAGCAAACAUACACGGGCCAGGCUGCGCUUCACGGAAGGAAGUAAACCUCCUUCGACAUGAUGCACACGUUCUCAGGUACAGUAGUUCUUGCAAAUGGGCGCCAAACUGCCCCGCUUGGCAUUCCCUCGGAGGCGCCCCUGCGGGAAGGCAGCGAAGGCGGACGAGGCCGCCCCUCCCUCCUCCCACCCCGUUCCGGAGCACCUCCGGCCAAUGGGAAGCGGGGAGGGGAAAUUUGGGCAGCUCAGCAGCUUCCCGGCAUGCCUUGCCCUCCAAGAGCAGCAGGCUCAGCCAUGGUGCGGUCGGGGGUUCGAGUCCCGCUGGUCCGCGGAGGGGGGGGGGCGACGACGACUCGCAGGCUCCCUGGGACCGGGAUCCACACUCGUCGGGAAGGCGGGCGGGCAGGAAAAAGCUUUCGGAGGCUGGCCGUGGCAAGCCGUGGCGCUCGCGCCUUUCCGAGAGCGACCUGCCUCCUUGCGAGGAAGCGCGGGCGGGCUUGGGCGAACUCCAGAGGCGGAGGUGGUCGCCGCGUCUGCUGGCAGCCGCUUUCCCAGCCGGCGAUCGUCGGAUGCUCACACUUUGAGUCUGAAGAGAAAGAGAAUUCCAAAUUUGCGAACAGCCAACACCAAUGCCUGCCCAUUGCAACAAAAUACGUUAAGAAUGUGGAUGUGGUUGUUUCCAGAGGUUGGAACAAGCUUAAAGGUGUGCUCAUGUGAGCAAAUGGAGAACAAGCAUACCAACAAGACCAAGAACUGGCACAAGGACUUGCAAGAAAUGUGGUGUGUGUGUGUGUGGGGGGGAGAAAUCCCAAAAGAUUGAGAUGGACAUAUUCUGUACACACUGAGAUCUGUUCUCCUACAUCUUUCUCCACGAGGACAGCCCCACAGCACAGAGGAUUACCCUCCUAUUUACAACUCAUUUUAGCUGCUUCCUUUCUUUACGACCCAGACAUUUUUCCAGUGGUUUUAAUGUUGGACCAGUUCAUGCCUGCUUACACCUUGGUUCCUCUUGAUACUUUGGACUUCCAAAACAUGAAAUGUCCAAGCUGUAGGCAACUGUUGCUUAUCUGAUUCUUGCCAACACACUUUAGUGGCAUGCUGGACAGUCCUGCACUUUCUUCUCUCUGGCACAAGAAUCCUUUUUCUAUAUUUCUGUUUCUUUCUGUGAAUUAUUGGUUCAUUUGACUGAUCGAUUUUAUUAAAUUUGUAUUCCCUCCCCCAAUUAGUGCAGAUGUACUACUACUCUGUGAAGUUUACGGUCAACAAAAACAAUACAUAUAAAUAAAAAUGAAAUACAAGUCUAAUAUUUCUGCUAU